rnacentral:rRNA from 1 species
UACGGAGGUGGCAAGCGUUGCUCGGAAUCACUGGGCGUAAAGGGCGCGUAGGCGGUCAGCACAAGUCAGUUGUGAAAUCUCCGGGCUUAACUCGGAAAGGUCAACUGAUACUGUGCGACUAGAGUGCGGAAGGGGCAACUGGAAUUCUCGGUGUAGCGGUGAAAUGCGUAGAUAUCGAGAGGAACACCUGCGGCGAAGGCGGGUUGCUGGGCCGACACUGACGCUGAUGCGCGAAAGCCAGGGGAGCGAACGGG